rnacentral:pre_miRNA from 1 species
CUCGGGGUGGGGGUCCCUCAGCCCGGAUUGUGAGGAGGUGCAGGCCAGGCAAGGGAUCUCACCGGUGCAGG